rnacentral:lncRNA from 1 species
GACGCCACUAAAAAGCACCCGAUUCCCGGCGGUGAUCGUGUAUGUUCGAAGAAAAAUUCGGUCGUUUGACGUGAAUGACAAGAAUAACGACACGAAUGUUCCCGCGUUUGUUAGUUGUUUACUUACGUAAAAAAGCUCCAACUAAUUUGAUCAAUUAUUGCGAUUAUACUGAAUUUGUUUCUUUGUGAAAUAUUGACCAUAUUGUUGCUUAUAGUGUUUUAAAAUAAUACCUGAAAAGCUGUAUCAAUUCCAAUUCAGCGAUUUUAGCUGUAAAAAUGGACGGCCCUACUCAAAACUAUCAGAAUCAGGACCAAACUAUCAACAAAAAUUUGUGCCACUUAUGCAGUAAAAUGUUUUCUUCCAUUUCAGCAUUGAACAAACAUAUUAAAGUUAUUCAUAAGCAGCAGCUCCCAGAUAACCCAAAGUCACACAUUUCUUGUCCCUUAUGCAAAGAGACUAAGUAUUCUUGUGAGACUUAUUAAAGACUUGAAGCUCAUUUACAGGUUAAGUCAUGAUAUCAAAAUAGAGUCGUCAACUUUCCAUUUUUCCAGCGAAGAAACAUUUGAGGAAUGGUUAAGAGAGCAUAAAAUAAGCACAAACUAUGCACUUGUUCACACAAGGAAAAUUGAAGACAAGAUUAAAAAAGUAUAUUGUUGCAAUCGAAGUGAUUUUAGAGGUAAUUUGUAGCAAUUUCAAUUGUUCAUUAUGGUAUGUGAGCAAAGGAAGGGAAGCGAUUCUGUUUUAGGUGAACUCCUCGGGCAAUGUUCUUUCAAUAAUAUUGAAGCUAGCCAUAGUCUAGAAAUUGAAACAUUUGUUAAUGAAAAGACAACUAAAAAUCAACAAGUAGCAGUACAACGAUUGAACAAGCAAUCAACAAGAGAAAUUGAAAGUGUAUCAAACUUUUUAAGAUCUUUAAAUGAUGAAACUUAUGAUAAGUGCAUGAGACAACUGACAUCAAUGAUGGAACAGAUAAAUAAGACAAAUACAAGUAAACGAAAAAUGGACAAACAAGUUUAUUUUCCAUCAAAGAAGAAGAAGGAGCAGUAAAUAAAAAUAAUUAAAUGUAUAUUUUUUCUAUUUAUCAGUAUUUUUUUUUAUAUAAUAGUAGGUAUAUUUUUAUAGGUUUAACUAUAUAUGUAUGUAUAUGUGUAUUAUAAUUUUUUAUGUAAGUUUUAGGCAAAUAUUUGAAGUAAAUAUUUUAAGUUUCUUGCAGUUUCUUCUUAUGAGUAUUAAUCGAAACUGCGAAUUGUAAAUUAGUAUUUUAGCAUAAAAUAAUUAAGUUUCUUUUCAAAUCAGUCAUAUACAUGUCUUUGCAGCAUUUAUAAAAUAAAAAUUGUUAAUAUAUGAUACAUUUAUAUAACAGUAUAACUAAUUAAA